AGUGAACGCUGGCGGUAGGCCUAACACAUGCCAGUCGAACGGCAGCACAGUAAGAGCUUGCUCUUACGGGUGGCGAGUGGCGGACGGGUGAGGAAUACAUCGGAAUCUACUUUUUCGUGGGGGAUAACGUAAGGAAACUUACGCUAAUACCGCAUACGACCUACGGGUGAAAGCAGGGGAUCUUCGGACCUUGCGCGAUUGAAUGAGCCGAUGUCGGAUUAGCUAGUUGGCGGGGUGAAGGCCCACCAAGGCGACGAUCCGUAGCUGGUCUGAGAGGAUGAUCAGCCACACUGGAACUGAGACACGGUCCAGACUCCUACGGGAGGCAGCAGUGGGGAAUAUUGGACAAUGGGCGCAAGCCUGAUCCAGCCAUACCGCGUGGGUGAAGAAGGCCUUCGGGUUGUAAAGCCCUUUUGUUGGGAAAGAAAAGCAGCAGGUUAAUACCCCGCUGUUCUGACGGUACCCAAAGAAUAAGCACCGGCUAACUUCGUG
rnacentral:rRNA from 1 species